rnacentral:snRNA from 1 species
GGAUGUGAGGGCACUGAGGCCGCGACCCCUGCCACCCCACUGACUGCUGGGUUGAUCCGGUGGGUCUGGCCGCCGAGGCAGGUGUCCCCUUCCUCCCUCCCUGAAGCCGUGCUGACUGGAGGGGACCCCCUUCCCCAACAGAGGAGGACCUCGGGCCCUGGCACACACGUGCGGUGGUGCUUGCUUGAGAACACAGGGCUGUCCAGUCCCGAGACUCCAACACAUCCAAACAAGGUGCUGCCAGUGUUUACCUUUCUUG